UACAGAGGGGGGCGAGCGUUUGUUCGGAAUUACUGGGCGUAAAGGGCGCGUAGGCGGCCUUCUAAGUCGAACGUGAAAUCCCCGGGCUCAACCCGGGAACUGCGUCCGAUACUGGGAGGCUUGAAUCCGGGGAGAGGGAUGUGGAAUUCCAGGUGUAGCGGUGAAAUGCGUAGAUAUCUGGAGGAACACCGGGUGGCGAAGGCGGCAUCCUGGACCGGCAUUGACGCGUGAGGAGCGAAAGCGUGGGGAGCGAACAGG
rnacentral:rRNA from 1 species